AGUGAACGCUGGCGGUAGGCCUAACACAUGCAAGUCGAACGGCAGCACAGUAAGAGCUUGCUCUUACGGGUGGCGAGUGGCGGACGGGUGAGGAAUACAUCGGAAUCUACUUUUUCGUGGGGGAUAACGUAGGGAAACUUACGCUAAUACCGCAUACGACCUACGGGUGAAAGCAGGGGAUCUUCGGACCUUGCGCGAUUGAAUGAGCCGAUGUCGGACUAGCUAGUUGGCGGGGUAAAGGCCCACCAAGGCGACGAUCCGUAGCUGGUCUGAGAGGAUGAUCAGCCACACUGGAACUGAGACACGGUCCAGACUCCUACGGGAGGCAGCAGUGGGGAAUAUUGGACAAUGGGCGCAAGCCUGAUCCAGCCAUACCGCGUGGGUGAAGAAGGCCUUCGGGUUGUAAAGCCCUUUUGUUGGGAAAGAAAAGCAGCAGGUUAAUACCCCGCUGUUCUGACGGUACCCAAAGAAUAAGCACCGGCUAACUUCGUA
rnacentral:rRNA from 1 species